rnacentral:lncRNA from 1 species
UUUCCUUCAAAUCGACAUACUAAUACAAUUGAAGUUCUAAACAACUUUGGUUGAUGAAGAUGAUGCACAAAAUAUUUAAGUAAGCAAAUAAUGAUAAAGCAACAAUGUUAUUACAUUAAUUAUCACGGAUGCCUAUGGAUGUUCUUGUGCUACGCUACAAACCAAAACAUUUCCAUUUAUACCUUGGGAUUGGAGAACCACGUUUAGUGAAAGAUGGUCAACAUAAACAUUAAAUACCAAACAACUUGAUACUGCAAAUCAAAUGUAUAAAUUUGUAAGUUGAAAAAAUGAGAUGCAAUAAACAAUGUAUUGCCAAUUUGGGGUAUUGUUUAUGAAAACUAGCAUCUGACAUAACAAAUAUACUGAGACCCAGUGGAUAAGGCGCGUCCAACUACAACUAUUUAACACACGAUACUGAUCAGCAUACUGCCAUGCGGACUGGGUAGGUCAUGUGACUGAGUCGGAGGAUUCCCUCAAGGACGCGGAGGUGGCAUUAAUGGAGGUCGAGCGCCAAGGGGAGCUGAAGGUGGAAGAGGCGGCAUUGCACCGGGUACAGGUCUGGGACCAUUUGCAGACAUAGGAGGUGGUGGAGGCAUUGAUCCUGACAUUGGAGGUGGAGGGGCUCGAGGAGGAUUUCCCAAAGGUGCGCCAGGAGGCAGCCCUUGGGGAGGAGGUGGUGGUGGUGGUAAUGGAGCUUGUGAUGCUAGGGGCAUUGGCCUUGGAGGAACACCGGGUGCUGUGGUGCCAUUGGGAGUAGAUGCAGGUGGCUGUGGUUUGGUUACCUCUAGUGGUUUGAUUUUAAAAUACAACUGCAGCUGCAGACAUAGCAACAGAAGUAGAUGCAGGUGGCUGUGGUUUGGUUACCUCUAGUGGUUUGAUUUUAAAAUACAACUGCAGCUGCAGACAUAGCAACAGUUCUGGAGUCAGUAGCUGCUAGUGGAAAUAAAAUAUCAACAAUGCAGGCAUGUCACAACCAAAAGGAACAAAGAGAAUGCAUGAAAGGAUGGAAAUACUCAUCGUAGUUCCACAAUUAACUACUUGCUUGAAUCAUUAGUUUGUACAAGGGAAAACAAUUAAAAUGCAAAGAUUUUGAUAUAACCGGUCAAACUGGUUCUAUGAUGUCUAAAGAUUAAGUGCGUUUUAAUUAGCAUAUUUUGAUAUCAAGAAAAAAAAAUCAUCAAAAGAUGUUUUAUCUACAAAAAAGUACCGACCGUAAAUGUACCGACCGUAAACAUCUUGGAAUCUGGGUCCCAAUGUGAGAAAAACUUUGGCGUGGACUUGUCAAUCUCUGUGCUAGGGAUCUGAAAAUGUAGAUUAACAAGUACAAACAAAUAAACUUCCACAGCUCAACAAACGUAUUCGAGGACUUAGACACGACAAAUAAUAAACUAGAGCAAUUAUUUACCUUGAAAGAAAUUGUUUCAUAUGGUUCAGCUGCAAACAAGAGAUAUUGAUAUCUUUUAUCAAAUGGUUGCACCCUCUAUACACACAAAAACGGAAAUGUUAAAAGAUGGCCUACAUGCAACAAAUAAUUUGACAACUUUGCCUUAACAGUUUACCUGCUCAUAGGAGGACAUAAUGUGCUAUUUGUGCUUGUGUGUUUGUUUUAGCUUGCUUCCUGUGCAAGUUAGGUUUAGUUUGGCUUGCUUCCUGUGCAAGUCAUGUUUAGGAUAGCUUGCUUCCUGUGCAAGUUAGCUAGAAAUCUUGACUUAGGGAUGAUUUUGCAUGAUAACAUCUAGGCUCGAGUCGUAGUCUCCCUAGUUGUGUCUCCCUCUGUUAUCUGGUUAGGCUAGUCCUGUAUCCCUGUUUAGGGGAACUACGUCGCCCUGAUCCUCAUACCAGAUGAGGUACGUAGGCAGGAGAUGAGCUGAUCUCUCCGGGCGCCCUUUUUGUUUUGUCUUUGUGUGUGUUAGAAGAUGGAUGUAAGUCCAGCGAUUGGCAUUCCGUAUCCUCUUGUUGUGUGCUUGGAGUCCGGUAUAAGUCCAUCAAGUGGCAUCUGGUUUCCAGUGUGGGUGUGUUUGGUUCGGAAGCUGAUGUAAGUCCAGCAAUUGGCGUUCAGGUUCCAUGUUUGCCCAUUUUUGUGUGGAGUUUGACGUAAGCCCAGCGAUUGGCAGUCGAUUUCCUGUGUUGCUUUGUUUGGCGUGCGUUAGCCGAGCUACGGAUGCUCUGAUUCUUCUUUGUCCAAGAAGAUACGUAUGCAUAGGAUGCGACAUCGUAGCGAGCAUGUGUUUUCCCCCCAGUCCGAACUACUUUGACUCUGAUGUCUAUGCUUGAUAGACUAAGUAGGCCCAGGAUGCGAUAUUCUGCCGAGUCAGUCUUGUCUAUUUUCUUGUGUCUCUUUCAGCCAAUGUUUGUUUGUUUGUGAGCAGUGUUUUAGCAACCAUUUUCCUUCCUUUUGUGCGUGGAUCCCGUCGAGUACGACGGAUGCGUAGGGGUGCUAAUACCUUCCCUUCGCAUAACCGACUCCCGAUCCCAUUCUCUUUGGUCGCGAGACCAUGCUUUUUCCAGGUUUACUUUGAGCGUUUCCUUUCCCUCUUUUGGGAUAAAUAACGCACGGUGGCGGCUCUGUUGUUCUUGUUUCCCGCCGGUUUUUCGUGUAAUGCGACACAGACACCAUUUUCAUAUAUGUAUGAGUAUAUGAUGAUAUUGUGUUCCUAAUGGUGCAUAAUGCAUUGAGCUGUGUGAUGUAUUAGAGUUAUGCAUAAGAAUAAAAGCAAUUGCUUGCUUUUGUACAUUGUCAUUUAAACAAUUUUUAGAUUGGAUCAAUCUAAAUUAAAUUAUUCCUACUUUUCAAUGUUUUACUAUAUGCUAGUGUGAUUUAUCUGGAUAUAUUCUUUUACACGUAACAAUUUAUGUUUUUUCAUGUGUACACAUGUUAGAGGUAAAAAACAUGAACAUCUAUUCAUGUAACUUUGGUGCUUUUAUAAUGAAAUCUUUUGAAGACGAAGUCUAGAACUGAGCUGUGAUCAUAUUGACAAUAUUUGAUUCACAGUUUUACCCUUUCCUUCAAAUCGACAUACUAAUACAAUUGAAGUUCUAAACAACUUUGGUUGAUGAAGAUGAUGCACAAAAUAUUUAAGUAAGCAAAUAAUGAUAAAGCAACAAUGUUAUUACAUUAAUUAUCACGGAUGCCUAUGGAUGUUCUUGUGCUACGGUACAAACCAAAACAUUUCCAUCUAUACCUUGGGAUUGGAGAACCACGUUUAGUGAAAGAUGGUCAACAUAAACAUUAAAUACCAAACAACUUGAUACUGCAAAUCAAAUGUAUAAAUUUGUAAGUUGCAAAAAUGAGAUGCAAUAAACAAUGUAUUGCCAAUUUGGGGUAUUGUUUAUGAAAACUUGCAUCUGACAUAACAAAUAUACUGAGACCCAGAGGAUAAGGCGCGUCCAACUACAACUAUUUAACACACGAUACUGAUCAGCAUACUGCCAUGCGGACUGGGUAGGUCAUGUGCAAUUGGCGGAGGCAAACAGAUGCCCUAGCUCUGCAUUUGUUGGCCUGGAAAACCUUGCGGAGGUGGCAUUGAUGGAGGUCGAGCGCCAAGGGGAGCUGGAGGUGGAAGAGGCGGCAUUGCACCGGGUACAGGUCUUGGACCAUUUGCAGACAUAGGAGGUGGUGGAGGCAUUGAUCCUGACAUUGGAGGUGGAGGGGCUCGAGGAGGAUUUCCCAAAGGUGCGCCAGGAGGCAGCCCUUGGGGAGGAGGUGGUGGUGGUAAUGGAGCUUGUGAUGCUGGGGGCAUUGGCCUUGGAGGAACACCGGGUGCUGUGGUGCCAUUGGGAGUAGAUGCAGGUGGCUGUGGUUUGGUUACCUCUGGUGGUUUGAUUUUAAAAUACAACUGCAGCUGCAGACAUAGCAACAGUUCUGGAGUCAGUAGCUGCUAGUGGAAAUAAAAUAUCAACAAUGAAUGCAUGCAUGUCACAACCAAAAGGAACAAAGAGAAUGCAUGAAAGGAUGGAAAUACUUAUCGUAGUUCCACAAUUAACUGCUUGCUUGAAUCAUUAGUUUGCACAAGGGAAAACAAUUAAAAUGCAAAGAUUUUGAUAUAACCGGCCAAACU